rnacentral:rRNA from 1 species
AGUGAACGCUGGCGGUAGGCCUAACACAUGCAAGUCGAACGGCAGCACAGUAAGAGCUGGCUCAUACGGGUGGCGAGCGGCGGACGGGUGAGGAAUACAUCGGAAUCUACUCUUUCGGGGGGGAUAACGUAGGGAAACUUACGCUAAUACCGGAUACGACCCACGGGUGAAAGCAGGGGUUGUUCGGACCUGUCGCGAGUGAAUGAGCCGAUGUCGGAUUAGCUAGUUGGCGGGGUAAAGGCCCACGAAGGCGACGAUCCGUAGCAGGUACGAGAGGGUCAUUCGCCACACUGUAACUGAGACACGGUCCAGACUCCUGCGGGAGGCCGCAGUGGGGAAUAUUGCGCGAUGGGCGCGAGCCUGAUCCAGCCAUACCGCGUGGGUGAAGAAGCCCUUCUGGUUGUAAAGUCCUUUUGUCGUUAGGGAAAUACAGCAGUUUUAUACCCCGUUGUUCUGACGGUACCCAAAGAAUAAGCUCCGGCUAACUUCGUG